CACUAUUAAACUGCAAAUGUGUACGUGCAUACGUUUAAAACAUAUGUAAUCAUUUAAUAGUAAAGUAAGCAAUUGCUUAUCAUGUUUUUCAGCCUCCUCUGCCAGGUGUCAGUUGUUAAAAAUCAGUGAUUCGAGGAAAUAACAGCACUCAGCUGCUGACUGAAAGCAUUUGGUUUGCACCUCACUACGUUUGGGCUAAGUUACCUGCAUCAUGAAGAACCUGCUGCUGUGGGGUUUUAUUGUUACCAUUGCAACAGCAUUUGGAGUGUCUGAAGAUGAUAUCCAAGUUGUGUGUAAGGAAAGUUCAGUUCACAUUAAAUGGAAAGUGAACAAAUCCAUGUCUGGUAAUCCAGCUCGUCUUCUCCUCGGUAACUGUUUUCCUUCAAGCUUCACAAAUACGUCAAAUGGCCACGCAGAGGCAGAAUUUAUCUAUCAAAUUAGUGAUUGUCAAUUCAAAAGGAUGGGGACGUGGAAAUAUUUGAUCUAUGUGAAUACACUGACUCACAGGCCGUUGCCAAAGCCCUACCCUCCUACUUUCACAUAUCCAGUGAGAUGUGUUUAUGACAGGCCGCAGGGUUGGGCCCCUCACUACUUAAGUCGUGCUACUGGUAUAAUUCAAGGUCAUGGAGAACUGGCUUUUCACAUGGCAAUUCUUAACUAUAAUUUCAGUGGCCCUGCAGAAUCCAACGUCUUUCCUCUGGGUUCUUUUAUUCCUAUAUGGGCCGAGGUGGACCAGCAAGCCCAUCAGCCACUGGUGCUGCUGCUAGAGGAAUGUGUGGCCACCACAACUCUGGAAAUGUACCCAGACAACCUUACGUACCCACUCAUCACCAAUGAAGGGUGUCUUGUGGAUGGAAAGACGACCCUCUCCAGGUUUCUACCGAGGUAUCACUCCUCCUCGAUCUUGCUUCAUCUUCAAGCUUUAAGAUUCGCUGUAGGAGAAGAGGUGUACAUCCACUGUAAGUUAAUCGCUUGGGACCCUGACGAUCUAAACGAAUCAAGAAAAGCCUGUAAUUACAAUAAAACCACAGAAGCGUGGGAGCUUUUGGAUGACCCCAAUAAGAACCGUCUUUGUCAGUGCUGUGAUUCUACUUGUAAAGGCCGAGCAAAGAGAGAUGCUGAAUCCGCACCCCAAGGGCUGGUUCUCAAAUCUGUGUUAGGACCCCUGACAAUUACUGAAGAUUCACUGUGAUCUUAGCCCAACGUAACAGAAAUUCAUCAGGAAGAUGCUGGAUUCCGAACUGGAGUCAUUAGGAAUCAGUCUUUGCUAUUGUGGUGGGAUCCCCUCUCUUUGAUUCUCUCCACCUUAUCAAGUAAAAAGCUGCAGUAAUAAUAAAAGAUGUCCGUGUG